GGUGUAGGCGGCUUUGCAAGUCGGAUGUGAAAUCCCUGGGCCCAACCCAGGAACUGCAUUCGAUACUGCAUCGCUAGAGUCCCGGAGAGGAUGGCGGAAUUCCAGGUGUAGAGGUGAAAUUCGUAGAUAUCUGGAGGAACACCAGUGGCGAAGGCGGCCAUCUGGACGGUGACUGACGCUCAGACCCGAAAGCGUGGGGAGCAAACAGGAUUAGAUACCCCGGUAGUCC
rnacentral:rRNA from 1 species